ACGAACGCUGGCGGCGUGCUUAACACAUGCCAGUCGCACGGAAAGGCCCUGCUUUUGUGGGGUGCUCGAGUGGCGAACGGGUGAGUACACGUGAGUAACCUGCCCUUGACUUUGGGAUAACUUCAGGAAACUGGGGCUAAUACCGGAUAGGAGCUCCUGCUGCAUGGUGGGGGUUGGAAAGUUUCGGCGGUUGGGGAUGGACUCGCGGCUUAUCAGCUUGUUGGUGGGGUAGUGGCUUACCAAGGCUUUGACGGGUAGCCGGCCUGAGAGGGUGACCGGCCACAUUGGGACUGAGAUACGGCCCAGACUCCUACGGGAGGCAGCAGUGGGGAAUAUUGCACAAUGGGCGGAAGCCUGAUGCAGCAACGCCGCGUGCGGGAUGACGGCCUUCGGGUUGUAAACCGCUUUCGCCUGUGACGAAGCGUGAGUGACGGUAAUGGGUAAAGAAGCACCGGCUAACUACGUG
rnacentral:rRNA from 1 species